AACUUUAAAUGGGUAAGAACCUAACUUUCUUGAUAUGAAGUUUAAGGUUAUGAUAUAUUGUGCCCAGUGGGCCACUUUUGGUAAGCAGAACUGGCGCUGUGGGAUGAACCAAACGUAAUGUUACGGUGCCCAAAUUAACAACUCAUACAGAAACCAUGAAAGGCGUUGGUUGCUUAAAACAGCAGGACGGUGAUCAUGGAAGUCGAAAUCCGCUAAGGAGUGUGUAACAACUCACCUGCCGAAGCAACUAGCCCUUAAAAUGGAUGGCGCUUAAGUUGUAUACCUAUACAUUACCGCUAAAGUAGAUGAUUUAUAUUAUUUAUAAUAUAAAUUUUGAAACUUUAGUGAGUAGGAAGGUACAAUGGUGUGCUUAGAAGUGUUUGGCGUAAGCCUGCAUGGAGCCGCCAUUGGUACAGAUCUUGGUGGUAGUAGCAAAUAAUCGAAUGAGACCUUGGAGGACUGAAGUGGAGAAGGGUUUCGUGUGAACAGUGGUUGAUCACGAGUUAGUCGGUCCUAAGUUCAAGGCGAAAGCCGAAAAUUUUCAAGUUUUAAAAAUGUCAAAUGAAAUAAUAAAUAAUAAAACACUUGAAUAAUUUUGAACGAAAGGGAAUACGGUUCCAAUUCCGUAACCUGUUGAGUAUCCGUUUGUUUUUAAAUAUGGGCCUCGUGCUCAUCCUGGCAACAGGAACGACCAUAAAGAAGCCGUCGAGAGGUAUCGGAAGAGUUUUCUUUUCUGUUUUAUAGCCGUACUACCAUGGAAGUCUUUCGCAGAGAGAUAUGGUAGAUGGGCUAGAAGAGCAUGACAUAUACUGUUGUGUCGAUAUUUUCUCCUCGGACCUUGAAAAUUUAUGGUGGGGAUACGCAAACUUCUCAACAGGCCGUACCAAUAUCCGCAGCUGGUCUCCAAGGUGAAGAGUCUCUAGUCGAUAGAAUAAUGUAGGUAAGGGAAGUCGGCAAAUUAGAUCCGUAACUUCGGGAAGAUUGAGAUAGUCGGGCUUGAUUGGGAAACAAUAACAUGGUUUAUGUGCUCGUUCUGGGUAAAUAGAGUUUCUAUCAUUUAUGAUAGUUAUUUGUUCCCCGGAUAGUUAGUUACGUAGCCAAUUGUGGAACUUUCUUGCUAAAAUUUUUAAGAAUACUAAUUUUUAAUUAGUUCUUUUAAAUUAUAACGAUUAUCAAUUAACAAUCAAUUCAGAACUGGCACGGACUUGGGGAAUCCGACUGUCUAAUUAAAACAAAGCAUUGUGAUGGCCCUAGCGGGUGUUGACACAAUGUGAUUUCUGCCCAGUGCUCUGAAUGUCAAAGUGAAGAAAUUCAAGUAAGCGCGGGUCAACGGCGGGAGUAACUAUGACUCUCUUAAGGAGGUGGUUUUAGUACGUAGGCGCUGUGGGACUUCAUUGUCCCGAUGAUGCAGCGAAUCGUGCAUACGAGAUUGUCCAGUAGUUGGUUGCUCGUAUCUUUAGGAGAUUUCCUUCCUCGGCGAUCAAAAAAAAAAAAAAAAAAAAAAAAAAUAGCCAAAUGCCUCGUCAUCUAAUUAGUGACGCGCAUGAAUGGAUUAACGAGAUUCCUACUGUCCCUAUCUACUAUCUAGCGAAACCACAGCCAAGGGAACGGGCUUGGAAUAAUUAGCGGGGAAAGAAGACCCUUUUGAGCUUGACUCUAAUCUGGCAGUGUAAGGAGACAUAAGAGGUGUAGAAUAAGUGGGAGAUAUUAUUCCUUGUGUUUGAUAUCGCCAAUGAAAUACCACUACUCUUAUUGUUUCCUUACUUACUUGAUUAAAUGGAACGUGUAUCAUUUCCUAGCCAUUAUACGGAUAUAUUAUA
rnacentral:rRNA from 1 species